rnacentral:rRNA from 1 species
AUGCAGAUUGCCUCGCUCWGAUCGCAGAGRGARCUUGCUCCUUUGACGUUAGCGGCGGACGGGUGAGUAACACGUGGGCMAYCUACCUUAUAGUUUGGGAUAACUCCGGGAAACCGGGGCUAAUACCGAAUAAUCURUUUCACCUCAUGGUGAAAUAUUGAAAGACGGUUUCGGCUGUCGCUAUAGGAUGGGCCCGCGGCGCAUUAGCUAGUUGGUGAGGUAACGGCUCACCAAGGCGACGAUGCGUAGCCGACCUGAGAGGGUGAUCGGCCACACUGGGACUGAGACACGGCCCAGACUCCUACGGGAGGCAGCAGUGGGA